rnacentral:lncRNA from 1 species
UUCUUGAUGAAUGGGGUUUUUGGGUGCAGGACAAGGUAACAAAGGCAAUCUUAAUGAGAGGAAUGAGUAAUGGAGGCCUGUACUAUAUUCCAAAGAGUCUUUUCUUCAAGAAUAAUAUGCAAUAGUUAAAGAUAGCUCCAAAGGCGUUUUUGGGACAAGCUAUGAAUGCUUCUUUGUGGCACCAUAGAUUAAGACAUCCAACAAAUGAUGUAUUACAUAGUAUGCUUUCUCAUUCCUAAAUAUUGUAUACUACUGAUGUGGAUAGACAUGUGUGUCAAUUCUGUCUUAGUGGGAAAGUGACUAGACAAGUGUUCUCUGCUAGUUCUUCUAUUGCUAAGAGACCUUUUGAAAGAGU